rnacentral:lncRNA from 1 species
AUGCUAAAACUCAGGCAAGAAGCUGCUCGCAGCCAGGUUGUUUGGAGGCAGCCAGGUUGGAAGGAUGGCUUUAGCCCCUGCUCUGAUCACAGCGGGAAUGGAGCCGCUACCCAGAGAUCGAUCAGAUACUCAGCAAUCACAGCAGCGCACCAGGAAACAUUACAGUCCCACUGCUCAGGCAAAAAUAAGGCACAGCAAAGGCCUCAUUCGGAGCCCAUGGAAGUUUCUGAAAACCUUUCCCACUGUCUUCCAAAGGCUUUGGACCUGGCCCUUGAUGAGGAUGAAUACAUGCUUUAGUUACCAUAUAUAUUCACAUUAGAAUAUAAAAACAAAACAAAAACACAAAGAUUAACAGCAUCUCAUUUUUAUACAUCUGCAUUAUUAUUAUUAUUUUAAAGCUUAAGGAUGUGCUUUUCCAUGCUACAAAAAUUCCUCUGGAGGAAAGGUAAAAUCUGUUCCACCUGCCUGGAGCCUGCCUGCUCGUGCUGUCCCUGCUGGAGCGCAAGGGGGCAAAGGGAGAGGAAACCCUCCCCACUGCGGCAGAGAAACGGCUGCUCCCUCAAACCUUUCGGACAGCUGCAUUCCCACCGUCAGCCCCUGCGUUGCUUAUUCUGGAAGGAUAUAUGAAUACACGCGUAAGGGCACUCCUGGAUCGGGGCCGGCUUGCUGGAACAGCAGUUGAAGCCCUCCCACGUGGGCUGUUUGGCCAAUGGGUCUGCGUAAACACAAGACUCCCUUCCCUGCCCUGCCUGUCCAGCCUUUCCCACUCAUCUGCCUGAGGCUGGAGCCAAGAUCUUCCCCUCCGCGCCACUGCUCUGCCCACAGUCUCUCUGCGGGCUCCUUCUGUAGGGUUUACGUGGUGCAGGAGGGUCUCUCUUUGGCCCUCUGCACCACUAGAAAACGUCACCCACAGUGACCAAAGGAUCUACUCUUCUUACUCAUGCAAGUAGGGACACCAAAGUGAGUGGGUCUACUUGCAGAAGCAGGGCAUCGGAAUUUGGCCCUGAGGACGGAUAUUUGCAAAUCAGUGUUUUUAUUCCUCCUGCCACUGUGCUUUAGUAACAAAGAUAAGGCCACUAGGAAGAAAGGCACAUGGAAUUCUGUAAAAAAUACACAAAAGGUUCAACUAAUUUGCAAAUUACUAACAAAACAAACAAAAAACCCCUGAACACAAAGACAGAGGGUAGAGACAGGGACCUCCUGGGUUUGUGACAUUGGGAGUUCAUUUUCUACUUUCAGUGUGAUUAACAUUUUACUUUUACAGUCUAUUGCUUGAAAAACUACAAAAAAGUAAAAUCUUGUCAGAAAUAACUAUGUUUACUUCCUGCUCAAACAAUAAAAAUAAAUUAAACAGCCA